GCCGGAAUAGCUCAGUUAGGCAGAGCAACUGAUUCGUAAUCAGUAGGUCCGCAGUUCGAAUCUGCGUUCCGGCACCA
rnacentral:tRNA from 1 species